rnacentral:rRNA from 1 species
GACAGAGGGUGCAAACGUUGUUCGGAUUUACUGGGCGUAAAGCGCGUGUAGGCGGCUUGGCAAGUCGGAUGUGAAAGCCCACGGCUCAACCGUGGAAGCGCAUCCGAAACUGUUUCGCUCGAGUCUCGGAGAGGAAGGUGGAAUGCUUGGUGUAGAGGUGAAAUUCGUAGAUAUCAAGCAGAACACCUGCGGCGAAGGCGGCCUUCUGGACGAUGACUGACGCUGAGACGCGAAAGCGUGGGGAGCAAACAGG